UACGAAGGGGGCUAGCGUUGCUCGGAAUCACUGGGCGUAAAGCGCACGUAGGCGGCUUUUUAAGUCAGAGGUGAAAUCCUGGAGCUCAACUCCAGAACUGCCUUUGAUACUGGAGAGCUUGAGUCCGGGAGAGGUGAGUGGAACUGCGAGUGUAGAGGUGAAAUUCGUAGAUAUUCGCAAGAACACCAGUGGCGAAGGCGGCUCACUGGCCCGAUACUGACGCUGAGGCACGAAAGCGUGGGGGAGCAAACAGGAUUAGAAAACCC
rnacentral:rRNA from 1 species